GCUGGGUAUGGUGGCGCACACCUGUAAUCCCAGCGGCUCAGGAGGCUGAGGCAGGAGGAUCACGAGUUCAAAGCCAGACUCAGCAAAGAUGAGGUGCUAAGCCACUCAGUGAGACCCUGUCUCUA
rnacentral:sRNA from 1 species